rnacentral:rRNA from 1 species
UUGGAGGGCAAGUCUGGUGCCAGCAGCCGCGGUAAUUCCAGCUCCAAUAGCGUAUAUUAAAGUUGUUGCAGUUAAAAAGCUCGUAGUUGAAUUUCGAGAUCAGUACGCUGGUCGUGCCUUCGGUAUGCACUGGUGUCACUGGUUUCUCCCUUCUGAAGAACCGUAAUGCCAUUCAGUUGGUGUGGCGGGGAAUCAGGAUUGUUACUUUGAAAAAAUUAGAGUGUUUAAAGCAGGCUCGCGCUUGAAUACAUUAGCAUGGAAUAAUGAAAUAGGACGUUUGAUCCUAUUUUGUUGGUUUCUAGGAUCGACGUAAUGAUUAAUAGGGAUAGUUGGGGGCAUUAGUAUUCAAUUGUCAGAGGUGAAAUUCUUGGAUUUAUUGAAGACUAACUACUGCGAAAGCAUUUGCCAAGGAUGUUUUCAUUAAUCAAGAACGAAAGUUAGGGGAUCGAAGACGAUCAGAUACCGUCGUAGUCUUAACCAUAAACUAUGCCGACUAGGGAUCGGAUGAUGUUAAUUUUUUAAUGACUCAUUCGGCGCCUUACGGGAAAC